rnacentral:misc_RNA from 1 species
AACGCACCUUGCGCUCCUUGGUAUUCCGAGGAGCAUGCCUGUUUGAGUGUCAUGAAAUUCUCAACCUUUUCAGCUUUUUCUGUUGAUCAGGCUUGGAUGUGGGAGUAUGCGGGCUUCUCAUCUCAGAGGUCGGCUCUCCUGAAAUGCAUUAGCGGGACCUUUGUUGCCUGGCUUUGGUGUGAUAAAUUAUUUACGCCAUCGUGAAGAGCAGCUUUAUAAACGGGGUUCAGCUUCUAAAUGGUCUCCUUUAAGACCAACUUCUGACAAUUUGACCUCAAAUCAGGUAGGACUACCCGCUGAACUUAA